GGUUUAAUUCGAUGAUACGCGAGGAACCUUACCCGGGCUUGAACUGCCAGUGACUCAUGCAGAGACGCGAUGUUUCUUCGGACACUGGCGGAGGUGCUGCAUGGUUGUCGUCAGCUCGUGCCGUGAGGUGUCGGCUUAAGUGCCAUAACGAGCGCAACCCUUCUCCCUGUUUGCCAUCGGGUAAUGCCGGGCACUCCAGGGACACUGCCAUCGUAAGAUGUGA
rnacentral:rRNA from 1 species